CAGCAGACACAUUCCAGCCAAUCAGCAGCAGACCCUCCCUCCCAGACCCUCCCACUUCCUGGACAGCAUCCAUUUUACAUUCAUUGUGAAGCUGCAUUCUUAGUGAGCUGUCCAGGAUGUAGGAGGAUCUGGGAGGGAGGGUCUGUUGCUGAUUGGCUGGAAUGUGUCUGCUG